CUGCGGGUUUUGCGCACGUGGACGCACGCGACGCGGCAGCAUCGGAGGAAUCCAUAGCAACGGCGGAUAAACAUGAGUUACUACAGCAGAGCCUCCAGUUCUUCCAGCUUCGCAUCCGCCGCCAUGACCAGUACGCUGGAGGACGACAGUCUGAACCUCAGACAGCAGAAACUGGAGAAACAGAGGGCGCUGCUGGAGCAGAAGCAGCGGCGGAAGCGUCAGGAGCCGCUGAUGGUCCAGCCGAACUCAGAGGGACGUCUGCGGCGCUCGCGGCCC